CCGUCCAAUCUGAAAUCAGUUCGGUCUCGUUUCACGUUUCUAGGAAAGAGUUAUAGGAGCCGGGGCAUCAAGAGGGACUGCGACGUCCCGUCAGAGUGGACCGCUCCCUAGGGAGAUUCUAGGGAGAUUCACGGUCCUCUAUACUGCCGGGUUCGGGUAAGCGGUCCGCGCCCCCGGAGAGACACAAUGAUAAUACACCCCUUAAACACCUGUGCACCCUUGCCGCGAGCGCUUUCCUCGCUCGUGUUAUACGAACGCUUGUCAUGCAUGUCUUGUCGGGCUCUACGGAGCUUCAAAAAAAGUUAAUACAACUUUCAACAACGGAUCUCUUGGCUUUCGCAUCGAUGAAGAACGCCGCGAAAGUGCGAAACGUAAUGUGAAUUGCAGAAUUCAGUGAAUCAUCGAAUCUUUGAACGCAUCUUGCGCUCCUUGGUAUUCCGAGGAGCAUGCCUGUUUGAGUGUCGUGAAGAGAGGAGUCGAACGCCUUUCCGUACGGAGAGGGGUUUGGAUUUGGACGCUGUCGGACCUCGUCCGACUCGUCUCGAAAUGCAUUAGCCGUCACCCAACCUCAUAGACAGACGGUGUGAUAAGUUUGAUCGCCCGAGUCUCGCGUGGGUAGGG
rnacentral:rRNA from 1 species